rfam:Eimeria mitis, Houghton, WGS project CBTT01000000 data, contig: Emh_contig411_3
AGCUUUCAGCAAUGGAUGCCUUGGUUCACGCAUCGAUGAAGGACGCAGCUAAAUGCGACUAACAUAGUCAUAGUUGCUUUGUUGUUGAGAUGAUGUCAUGUGCUGUGGAUGUGUUGCAAGGUGUUG